GGUAAUGACGUGCAAGGGGCCGGGGUAAGAGGUGGGUGGCAAGGGUUGGUCGGAAUUAUUGGGCGUAAAGGGCUCGCAGGCGGUUUCUUAAGUCUGAUGUGAAAGCCCCCGGCUCAACCGGGGAGGGUCAUUGGAAACUGGGAAACUUGAGUGCAGAAGAGGAGAGUGGAAUUCCACGUGUAGCGGUGAAAUGCGUAGAGAUGUGGAGGAACACCAGUGGCGAAGGCGACUCUCUGGUCUGUAACUGACGCUGAGGAGCGAAAGCGUGGGGAGCGAACAGGAUUAGAUACCCUAGUAGUC
rnacentral:rRNA from 1 species